AGUGAACGCUGGCGGUAGGCCUAACACACGCAAGUCGAACGGCAGCACAGUAAGAGCUUGCUCUUACGGGUGGCGAGUGGCGGACGGGUGAGGAAUACAUCGGAAUCUACUUUUUCGGGGGGGAUAACGUAGGGAAACUUACGCUAAUACCGCAUACGACCUACGGGUGAAAGCAGGGGAUCUUCGGACCUUGCGCGAUUGAAUGAGCCGAUGUCGGAUUAGCUAGUUGGCGGGGUAAAGGCCCACCAAGGCGACGAUCCGUAGCUGGUCUGAGAGGAUGGUCAGCCACACUGGAACUGAGACACGGUCCAGACUCCUGCGGGAGGCAGCAGUGGGGAAUAUUAGACAAUGGGCGCAAGCCUGAUCCAGCCAUACCGCGUGGGUGAAGAAGGCCUUCGGGUUGUAAAGCCCUUUUGUUGGGAAAGAAAAGCAGCAGGUUAAUACCCCGCUGUUCUGACGGUACCCAAAGAAUAAGCACCGGCUAACUUCGUG
rnacentral:rRNA from 1 species